rnacentral:tmRNA from 1 species
GGGGCUGCAAUGGUUUCGACGUGACAACAGGAGGGUGACUGAAGCCUGCUCGGCAUGAGCAAACACAUAAACGCUAACAAAAUCGUUAGUUUCUCCCGUCAGACAGCACCUGUUGCUGCCUGACCCUAUUAAGGGAGAUGGGGUUAGAUCAGCCUUAUCACUCAAAUGAUCUAUGGGACCUGGAAAGGUCCCUUCUCA